rnacentral:rRNA from 1 species
AAGACGGGAGGCAGAAGGGGGGAAUAUUGGACAAUGGGCGAAAGCCUGAUCCAGCCAUGCCGCGUGUGUGAAGAAGGCCUUCGGGUUGUAAAGCACUUUCAGUGGGGAAGAAAGCCUUGGGGCUAAUACCCUCGAGGAAGGACAUCACCCACAGAAGAAGCACCGGCUAACUCCGUGCCAGCAGCCGCGGUAAUACGGAGGGUGCGAGCGUUAAUCGGAAUUACUGGGCGUAAAGCGCGCGUAGGCGGUCUGAUAAGCCGGUUGUAAAAGCCCCGGGCUCAACCUGGGAACGGCAUCCGGAACUGUCAGGCUAGAGUGCAGGAGAGGAAGGUAGAAUUCCCGGUGUAGCGGUGAAAUGCGUAGAGAUCGGGAGGAAUACCAGUGGCGAAGGCGGCCUUCUGGACUGACACUGACGCUGAGGUGCGAAAGCGUGGGUAGCAAACAGGAUUAGAUACCCGAGUAGUC